rnacentral:rRNA from 1 species
GACGAACGCUGGCGGCGUGCCUAAUACAUGCAAGUCGAGCGGAUGGAAGGAAGCUUGCUUCCUAAAGUCAGCGUGGGCCGGGUGAGUAACACGUGGGCAACCUGCCCCUAAUAUCGGGUUAACGUCGGGAAACCGGAGCUAAUACCGGAAAGGCUUAUGUCUCACAUCAACGGUAAUGGAAGGACGAUUUCGGCUGUCACUUAGGGCUGGGCUCGCGGUGCAUUGGCUAGUUGGUGAGGUAACGGCACACUAAGGGGACGAUGCGUAGCCGACCGGAGAGGGUGGUAGGCGACACUGGGAGUGAGACACGGCCCAGACUCCUACGAGAGGCAGCAGUAGGGAAUCUUCCGCAAUGGACGAAAAUCUGACGGAGCAACGCCGCGUGAGUGAAGAAGGUUUUCGGAUCGUAAAACUCUGUUGUUAGGGAAGAACAAGUACCAUAGUAACUGAUGGUACCUUGACGGUACCUAACCAGAAAGCCACGGCUAACUACGUGCCAGCCGCCGCAGUAA